rnacentral:rRNA from 1 species
AACGAACGCUGGCGGCAUGCCUAACACAUGCAAGUCGAACGAACUCUUCGGAGUUAGUGGCGCACGGGUGCGUAACGCGUGGGAAUCUGCCCUUGGGUACGGAAUAACUCAGAGAAAUUUGUGCUAAUACCGUAUAAUGACUUCGGUCCAAAGAUUUAUCGCCCAAGGAUGAGCCCGCGUAAGAUUAGCUAGUUGGUGGGGUAAAAGCCUACCAAGGCGACGAUCUUUAGCUGGUCUGAGAGGAUGAUCAGCCACACUGGGACUGAGACACGGCCCAGACUCCUACGGGAGGCAGCAGUGGGGAAUAUUGGACAAUGGGCGAAAGCCUGAUCCAGCAAUGCCGCGUGAGUGAUGAAGGCCUUAGGUUGUAAAGCUCUUUUACCCGGGAUGAUAAUGACAGUACCGGGAGAAUAAGCUCCGGCUAACUCCGUGCCAGCAGCCGCGGUAAU